CUCGAGCGACGCACCUUCGCUCGAGCGACAGCUCAGCGAAACUCUAGCGACGUCUGUUCUGCAAUUUAGGCUCGAGCGAGGUCAGGGCGAAACUCUAGCGAAAUCAACGCGCCGUUUGCAUCUUCAAAGCAUCCCACUUUACCCUAGACCUAUGCUAUGAACUUUGCUAAAUUGCAACUUUAGUUCCUGAACUAUUAGACCUUUACAAUUUGGUCCUUGACUUUACAAUUUUGACAAAUAGGUCCUUUGGUCACAGAUUGCCAAUUACACAUUUUCUUAACAAACUCCUCCUUUGGCAUUCUGUGACAAAAAUACAUAUGACAGUCAAGGACAUAAAUAAAAAUGACUCCAAACAACCUAUCUAUUCAACCAAAGUAGCUAUCUCUUGUUAAACCUGUUUCCUGAAAAUCAAAAACUCAAAUACCAAGUGUAAAAGCAUGUGAAAUGGAAACAGUAAAUAAAAACAAGAAAUAGAUCAUACGUCAUUAACCAGAUUAAGAAACAAUAAUAAUGUAGGUCAAAAACAUACAUUAAUAUUGUCAAAACAUCAAAAACUUAAUCUAGUCGUGAAUUAUAUACACAUCAUCUUUAUAUCACAAUUACCAAAAAAUCGAUAUCUAUCUAUCCAAUGCUAUCCAAAAUAUCUACUCCCCCUUUUUGUCACGAAGGACAAAGGAUCAAAAACAAUCCACUAACUAACUAUGAGGCAGCACCUCCAGCAUCCGAAGACUCAACACCGCUCUCGCCACUCGUGCUCUCCUCUAUACUAUCACGAAUCCAGCGCAAAUGUUGCUGACACACGGCAAGAGCACGGCGAAAAGGAGAAAGCUCAGCUGAAUGACGCUCCGAAGCAGCACGUAACUGCGUGAUCUCAGCCAUCAUACGAGCCUGCUGCUCGACCAGUGUAGACAUCUGUCCCAUAAGCAUCACCGUGGGGGUCAAACGGGCAAAGCAGCCACGCCAGGAGCAGAAGUAGAUGUCGAAGGAAAGGUAGAGCUAAGCGGAAUAGCUAAAGGAGGAUCGGAACGAGAAGGAAGAAAGACACAAGAACCCCCAGUAAGAAUAUCAGUAAUAGGAUCAAGGGGCUCCGAAAAAUCAAAGACAUCAACAGGCUCAGCCUGAGCCGCAACAUGAGCAGAAGAGGAAGAAAACGGAACAUGGGAUCAACUCUGAUGAAUGGUCUGUUGUCCUAUCGGACAUCCUAUUCGACUAGUCGAACCCUCUGGAAAAGAAGUACCUAAAGACAAAGCAACCCUAUGAAUCAAGCAAGCAUAAGGCAACCCGAUCCGUCCCCCAGGAGUACGAAAUGAAGUCAGAAUCUGCUGGCACACAAAACUAGGAAGGUCGAUCGAGUCCCCAUGAAGAAGGGCAUAUAGAAAACGGGCCCUCACCAUAGGUAACGAAGACGUGUGGGCAACAGGCCACAGGUUUGUGCACAUGAUGUGUAACAAAACCUGACGAUCGGUGGGUAAAGAACCCUUGGCCAUCGCCGUAAGCCCCCCGACAGACGGGGUGUUCAAAAGCGUCGACCGAACAAGGGCAUCGACCGAAAUAGAAGCAGGUAGAAUAUAAGGAAAAGUCGGAUGGGUAAUCUAAGAUAUACCUAAAGCAUGAGCUACUACUGACGGAGUAACCCUAAAAGAAUGACCUCUAAGAAAAACUCUAAACGACGAGCCGUCUAUGUCAUGAAUAUUAGCAUAAAACUCCUGAACCAGGAGUGGGGGCGGAGGUGAAAGACCAACAAGAAGGGGCUCCCAACCUCGGGAAACAAAAAUGGCGGCUAUAUCAACAGGAAGGUCAGAUAAGAUUACCUCACGCUCCACAAGUACGGGGCGUAAGGAGAACUGAGAAGUGAAGACCUCCUAAACUGUAGCAGAAAUGAAUCGCGAUCGACUAUACGACGUCGAACCACUGGCCGGCUGCGCAGAGGGUCGAGAACGCUUACGGGCCAUCUGGCACACGUAGAGACAGAACUAAUGAGUAACAUGAAUAAUGCACGUAAUAUGAUGCAAUAUGAAAUGAAACAUUGCACACACAAAUGAGGCACGAAAGAAAUGCAUCGAAAAAUGUGAACGACCCUAAGAGCAAACCAAGCAUGACGAAAAGAUAAACCUAAAAUAUGUCCAAAAGCACUCAACAUGGCACGUGACGACAAUGAAACAAAGACGAAAUGGAAAGAAGGAAAACAGAAACACAAAAAAAACUAAGGGAAAACAAAAGUCAUAUAGCUAAGGACUUUCAUCGAACACGUGGCGUGCGACACUUUGGCACACAAUUCCAGGCGAGACUCGAGCGAAGUUCAAAUGUCAGAAAUAGCACUAAAUUUUGAAUAUUGAUAAAAAGAACACAAUUAUCAAGAAAUGACGAAAUUAGCCCCAAAUUGUGUAUUUUCAAAAAUAAGACAAGUGCAGAGCAUCGGAAACUAAUAAAAAAAAACGAAGCAUGUGACCAAUUAUGUAAACUAUACCAACAAUAAGCAUAAAGUCACAACCCCGACACUCAGCACAUAGACAACUCGUAAGUCCACAUAUAGUUCAAAAUCUCGUGGAGUAAAGUGUAUACAGAACAUCACCGUGAAAAGUGCCAUGCAGUCAAGACAAAUGGACACAUAACCCCAAUCACAGAAGAACACCAUCCCAAGUCUCACCCAUACGGUCAAGACUCACUCACAGGACUACAGUGUGUGCUGUGCAAAAAUGAAUGACGAGCCAUAUAAUCAGAACUCCACAAGCAAAGAGAACAAUGAUGGAACCUUAGACUUGUACAUAUGAUGAAAAAUAGAGUUUGAUCUUUAAUGCAAAAACUAUUAUCGUCACAUAAAAGGCACACACCCAAAAAACCCCCAUUUUAUUUUUAUUUAUUAUUAUUAUUAUUAAUUUUUUUUAAUUAAUUUUUUUUUAUUUUCAUAUUUAAACACACAAAAGAAGAUUAAACGACAAACUAACACUCAAAAAUGCAUCACACACACACAGAUCACAUGCAAGAUAUGAAGUGAUUAGAUGCAUAUGUAAUGAAUGCAUGAAUAUACAUGAAUCCACGAUCAGAUAGGUGAACAAACACCAACAGCCGUCCGAAGCGACUUAAACCUCAAUCCAUCUAAUGGUUUCGUAAGUAGAUCAGCCAAUUGAUUAUCAGUAGAGACGUGGUUUUGAGAGGGUUGAUGUUUUUAUUGAAAGAACCAUGAGAAUUAAAAGAUGAAAAGAAUGAAUAUUAGGUUCUUAAUCCUUUGGAAGUUGAGAGGAAUUCCUAUUUGAAUGUUUGCCAAAGGUCUUUAAUGAAAAUAGGACGUUUUGUUUAUAUAGUAGAUUGAAUUUGGUAAUAUGGAGCGUUAAAAAUUCGCGAGGCAUUAAAAUUACCAAAGGCCAGAUAACACCGUCGCUCGAGCGAGGUGCUGGCGAAACUCGAGCGACGCACCUUCGCUCGAGCGACGGCUCAGCAAAACUCUAGCGACGUCUGUUCUGCAAUUUAGGCUCGAGCGAGGUCAGGGCGAAACUCUAGCGAAAUCAACGCGCCGUUUGCAUCUUCAAAGCAUCCCACUUUACCCUAGACCUAUGCUAUGAACUUUGCUAAAUUGCAACUUUAGUCCCUGAACUAUUAGACCUUUACAAUUUGGUCCUUGACUUUAC
rnacentral:lncRNA from 1 species